UUGGAGGGCAAGUCUGGUGCCAGCAGCCGCGGUAAUUCCAGCUCCAAUAGCGUAUAUUAAAGUUGUUGCAGUUAAAAAGCUCGUAGUUGAAUUUCGGGAUUGACGUGAUGGUCAUGCCUUAAGGGGUAUGAACUGUCACUGUUGAUUUCUCACCUUCUGGAGAAACUUGAUGUCCUUUAUUGGGUGUCUUGCGGAUCCAGGACCUUUACCUUGAAAAAAUUAGAGUGUUUAAAGCAGGCAUUUUUGCUCGAAUACAUUAGCAUGGAAUAAUAGAGUAGGACGGCAUGGUUCUAUUUUGUUGGUUUCUAGGAUCACCGUAAUGAUUAAUAGGGAUAGUUGGGGGCAUUAGUAUUCAAUUGUCAGAGGUGAAAUUCUUGGAUUUAUUGAAGACUAACUACUGCGAAAGCAUUUGCCAAGGAUGUUUUCAUUAAUCGAGAACGAAAGUUAGGGGAUCGAAGACGAUCAGAUACCGUCGUAGCCUUAACCAUAAACUAUGCCGACUAGGGAUCGGAUGAUGUUAAUUUUUUAAUGACUCAUUCGGCGCCUUACGGGAAACCAAAGUGUUUGGGUUC
rnacentral:rRNA from 1 species